rnacentral:rRNA from 1 species
GAUGAACGCUGGCGGCGUGCCUAAUACAUGCAAGUCGAGCGAACAGACGAGGAGCUUGCUCCUCUGGCGUUAGCGGCGGACGGGUGAGUAACACGUGGAUAACCUACCUAUAAGACUGGGAUAACUUCGGGAAACCGGAGCUAAUACCGGAUAAUAUAUUGAACCGCAUGGUUCAAUAGUGAAAGACGGUUUUGCUGUCACUUAUAGGUGGAUCCGCGCCGCAUUAGCUAGUUGGUAAGGUAACGGCUUACCAAGGCGACGAUGCGUAGCCGACCUGAGAGGGUGAUCGGCCACACUGGAACUGAGACACGGUCCAGACUCCUACGGGAGGCAGCAGUAGGGAAUCUUCCGCAAUGGGCGAAAGCCUGACGGAGCAACGCCGCGUGAGUGAUGAAGGUCUUCGGAUCGUAAAACUCUGUUAUUAGGGAAGAACAAAUGUGUAAGUAACUAUGCACGUCUUGACGGUACCUAAUCAGAAAGCCACGGCUAGCUACGUG